GUUAGGAUGGCCGAGUGGUUAAGGUGUUGGACUUAAGUUCUAAUGGAUUUAUAGCCACGUGGGUUGCACCCCACUCCUGGUA
rnacentral:tRNA from 1 species